rnacentral:rRNA from 1 species
AGAGCGAACGCUGGCGGCAGGCCUAACACAUGCAAGUCGAGCGCCCCGCAAGGGGAGCGGCAGACGGGAGAGUAACACGUGGGAACGUGCCCUUUGGUUCGGAACAACACAGGGAAACUUGUGCUAAUACCGGAUAAGCCCUUACGGGGAAAGAUUUAUCGCCAAAGGAUCGGCCCGCGUCUGAUUAGCUUGUUGGUGAGGUAACGGCUCACCAAGGCGACGAUCAGUAGCUGGUCUGAGAGGAUGAUCAGCCUCACUGGGACUGAGACACGGCCCAGACUCCUACGGGAGGCAGCAGUGGGGAAUAUUGGACAAUGGGCGCAAGCCUGAUCCAGCCAUGCCGCGUGGGUGAUGAAGGCCCUAGGGUUGUAAAGCCUUUCGGCGGGGAAGAUAAUGACGGUACCGCAGAGAAGCCCGGCUAACUUCGCGCCAGCAGCCGC